AUAUGUGUACAGUUGAACAUUGCCUAGAUUAUACACACAAGUGGUCAGUCAAUUGAAAUACUACAAACUGGUGUGACUAUGUGAGAUUAUAAUACGUGAAAAACCUUCAAGUAUGUCGGAUAAUCCAUCGUUUCUAUCUGGGUCGACGAACCGAUUUAUUUUCCACCGAAUUUGAGGAAAAAGUGAUUUUUCUCAUGAUCAUGUUGUGGAUAGUUUAUCGGAAGAUGAGGAGAUGCAUAUGCCGCCAAUCAAUCGUCGAUAUUUAAAUAUAUGACAACGUCUUACCGUAGUCCAGGUAUCUCCGAAAGGAUUCGAGUAAAUGAAAUACGAAAUCGCAGACUUACAAAAAUGGUAGGGUAGAUAUAAACAAUAAAACUCCGGCAGGAUCUUCAUCGAGACCACACAUGUAUAUGUGCGCACUCAUGUUGGACACAGGUCAAGCAGCGCGCCAGGGAGUGGACAAAGCAGCAGCAGGAAGGCAACGCCGGAUCGGAUUACGCCUGAUAAACUCACAACAAGGGAAGCUGCUUGCUUGAAGUAGGCAUCAUAGAACGAAGGGGAAACAUUAGAAAGUAGAAAUGAUGUCUUCAGAAUAUGAGGAAGAGUCAGACAAAGACAGCCUUUCCAAUAUCAAUGUCCUACCAUGGAGGAGCGAUGAAAUAGAUAAGAUCAUUACGGAACUAGGCAAAAAAUUGAAAAGUUCUAAAAGACAACAGUAUAAACGAGUGCGGACAGAAGUGUCCAGCAGAAAAUGUCCGGAUUAAUACGAUUACUUGAGAUUGACAAUAAAACAGUAACGGAAUGGUAUAGCAAGAAAAUCGAGUGUCUAGUUUAAAGAGAUAAACUUAAUGGUAAGAUUAAAUUUGCAUUGAGUUUACUGGAAUUUACAUUGAGUUUACUGGAAUUUACAUUGAGUUUCCUGGAAUUUACGUUGAGUUUAGUGGAACUUACAUUGAGUUUACUGGAAUUUGCAUUGAAUUUACUAAACAUUAUAGGGAGUGUACCGAAAUUUACAACGAGUUUGCUGGAAUUUACAUUAGGUUCACUGAAAUUUACAUUGAGUUUCCUGGAAUUUACGUUGAGUUUAGUGGAAUUUACAGCGAGUUUGCUGGAAUUUACAUUAGGUUUACUGAAAUUUACAUUGAGUUUCCUGGAAUUUACGUUGAGUUUAGCGGAAUUUACAGCGAGUUUGCUGGAAUUUACAUUAGGUUUACUGAAAUUUACAUUGAGUUUCCUGGAAUUUACAUUGAAUUUAGUGGAAUUUACAGCGAGUUUGCUGGAAUUUACAUUAGGUUUACUGAAAUUUACAUUGAGUUUCCUGAAAUAAAAAUUGAGUUUACGAGAA